ensembl:lncRNA
GUGCGUCACGGGCUGUGCCAGUGUGUCUGUCUCAGAUCCGAUGCCAUCCUCUCUCCCCUGUCUGUCUCCUGUUUGCUGUCUCUCUGUCGCUCGCUCUGUGUCUCCCUCUGUCUCUGCCUCCGUGUGUGUGUGUGUGUGUGUGCGCGCGCGCGCACGCAUCUGUCUGUCUGUCUAUCUGUAUCUCCCUCUCACAGUCCUGGAGUCUAUCUCUGAACUUCCAUCUCUUUCUGCCUCUGUCUCUCCUGACACCCGGCGGCCCGUCCGUUCCUCUGGCCCCGGCCUCUCACAGGUGCUAUGGCUCUGGCUGACGAGGUUGCGACGGCGGGCUGUCGACUGUCUGUGUGUCUGUCCAUGUGCCUGCCUGUCGCUCGUCUGCUCUCGCAGGAAGGUUGUGUGCUUGUCCGGCGGCGUGGGGGAAAGGCAGCGUGGUGGGAACACAGGGGCUGGAUUCUGCUACAGUCAGGACUUGCUCCUGAUGUGCUUCAGGUUUACCUGCACGAAUUCUCCAGAUGUUUAUACAGCAUCCAGUAUACAACAAAGACUACAUUUUGAACUCGAUGGAAUCUUUACUCUGUUAAUACUUGUUACAUGGACCCGAAGAUAUUACAGGGUUUUUAAUUAGUGAAAAAUUCAUGAAUACCAUAGAGAAAAUAUUUUAGAAUUUAAUGUUUCUGAUAUUUAUGUAAACUUAUGACUUCAUUUAUAUAAUUCCUUCCUUUUUCUUGUAUAUUCAGGCUAUGAAUAUCCUUUCAGAUCAAUUCAUGUUCUGAUACCUGAUUUCAGUCUUUCAAAUGAAUGUACUGUAGUGCUUGUCUGUAUAAAUCCUAUGAACAAACACAGGGCUUUUGUAAAUGAUGCAUUUAUUGUAAUUAUUCUUGUUUAAUUUUUCAAUGUUAAACCAUGAGAGAAGGGGUUUUCCUGCGAUUGUAAAAUCAUCAUGACACGGUGUGCAUUAUCCUUCCAGAAUGUAACCAAGCUCUCCAACAAUCACUCUGAAAUAAGCAAACUUAAUUUCAACCAAUUGUUGUUGGAUGUUAACGACUGGCCUAAACUGUACUUUUUCUAGCAAGAAAUGCUUUUUGUCCACAGCGUGAAGUGAUUUAAAAGUACUGGGUGUUAAAUGUGAGCUUCUAAUGAAAUUUGGGCUGAAAGGAUGCCUAGAAGAAGACUGAAAAUCUCUCCUGUAACCCAGUCUCUGUGGACCCGGAUCCCUCCUCUCCGGUGAGACUCUUUGGGGACCAAUCGCGAUGCCCUGCACCCGCUGCAGAGCCAUCGAGCUGGACAGUGAAGGUGCCACUUCCCAGACAGACAGGGUAGUGUAGCUCUGACAAAGGCCUUAUUUUUAUGUAAAUCAUCUUUUUACAUGAUUGUAAACAUGUUUAAAGAAUGGACCUAGGCGUACAUUUUUAGAUUGUGAUGACAUAGCCAUUCUGGAUUGUAUAAGUAGCAAAUGUAAUUUUUACUUUUUCAGCGGCACAUUAAAAAAGCCAGCAAGAGAUGCGUUCAGGUCACAGUGUGAUAUUUAUUAUGCAGCUGGUAUCUUGGUAGACAGAGACAGCAUGUUUCUUUACAUGUGGGUUCCGCCUUUAAUUUACUUGUACAAUUCAUUGUUAUCAUUCUAUUUUCCUAUUAAUCUUUUGUGAACUUCCCGAAUAUGUGACAAAGUAUGUACAGUCUACUUUUGAACUAUUUUUAUCAC